UACGAAGGGGGCUAGCGUUGUUCGGAAUUACUGGGCGUAAAGGGCGCGUAGGCGGCCUCGUCCGUCCGGCGUGAAAUGCCUGGGCUCAACCUAGGAAUUGCGCUCGAUACAGCGAGGCUAGAGUGUGGGAGAGGUUGGUGGAAUUCCCAGUGUAGAGGUGAAAUUCGUAGAUAUUGGGAGGAACACCUGUGGCGAAAGCGGCUCACUGGACCACAACUGACGCUGAGGCGCGAAAGCUAGGGGAGCAAACAGG
rnacentral:rRNA from 1 species